UACAGAGGGUGCAAACGUUGUUCGGAAUUACUGGGCGUAAAGCGCGUGCAGGCGGCCUUGCAAGUCGGACGUGAAAUCCCACGGCUCAACCGUGGAAGUGCAUUCGAAACUGCGAGGCUGGAGUCCUGGAGAGGAAAGUGGAAUACUCGGUGUAGAGGUGAAAUUCGUAGAUAUCGGAAGGAACAUCAGUGGCGAAAGCGACUUCCUGGACCAGUACCGACGUUCAGGCACGAAAGCGUGGGGAGCAAACAGG
rnacentral:rRNA from 1 species